AGCGAACGCUGGCGGCAGGCUUAACACAUGCAAGUCGAGCGGGCCCUUCGGGGUCAGCGGCCGACGGGUGAGUAACACGUGGGAACGUACCCUUUGGUUCGGAAUAACGCUGGGAAACUAGCGCUAAUACCGGAUACGCCCUUUUGGGGAAAGGCUUGCUGACGGAGGAUCGGCCGGCGUCUGAUUAGCUAGUUGGGGGUGUAAUGGCCUACCACGGCGACGAUCAGUAGCUGGGUAGAGAGGAAGAGCAGACACACUGGGACUGAGACACGGCCCAGAAUCCUACGGGAGGCAGCAGUGGGGAAUAUUGGAAAAUGGGCGCAAGGCUGAUCCAGCCAGGCCGCGUGAGUGAUGAAGGCCGUAGGGUUGUAAAGCUCUUUUGUCCGGGACGAUAAUGACGGUACCGGAAGAAUAAGCCCCGGCUAACUUCGUG
rnacentral:rRNA from 1 species